AAAUUGAAGAGUUUGAUCAUGGCUCAGAUUGAACGCUGGCGGCAGGCCUAACACAUGCAAGUCGAACGGUAACAGGAAGAAGCUUGCUUCUUUGCUGACGAGUGGCGGACGGGUGAGUAAUGUCUGGGAAACUGCCUGAUGGAGGGGGAUAACUACUGGAAACGGUAGCUAAUACCGCAUAACGUCGCAAGACCAAAGAGGGGGACCUUCGGGCCUCUUGCCAUCGGAUGUGCCCAGAUGGGAUUAGCUAGUAGGUGGGGUAACGGCUCACCUAGGCGACGAUCCCUAGCUGGUCUGAGAGGAUGACCAGCCACACUGGAACUGAGACACGGUCCAGACUCCUACGGGAGGCAGCAGUGGGGAAUAUUGCACAAUGGGCGCAAGCCUGAUGCAGCCAUGCCGCGUGUAUGAAGAAGGCCUUCGGGUUGUAAAGUACUUUCAGCGGGGAGGAAGGGAGUAAAGUUAAUACCUUUGCUCAUUGACGUUACCCGCAGAAGAAGCACCGGCUAACUCCGUGCCAGCAGCCGCGGUAAUACGGAGGGUGCAAGCGUUAAUCGGAAUUACUGGGCGUAAAGCGCACGCAGGCGGUUUGUUAAGUCAGAUGUGAAAUCCCCGGGCUCAACCUCGGGAACUGCAUCUGAUACUGGCAAGCUUGAGUCUCGUAGAGGGGGGUAGAAUUCCAGGUGUAGCGGUGAAAUGCGUAGAGAUCUGGAGGAAUACCGGUGGCGAAGGCGGCCCCCUGGACGAAGACUGACGCUCAGGUGCGAAAGCGUGGGGAGCAAACAGGAUUAGAUACCCUGGUAGUCCACGCCGUAAACGAUGUCGACUUGGAGGUUGUGCCCUUGAGGCGUGGCUUCCGGAGCUAACGCGUUAAGUCGACCGCCUGGGGAGUACGGCCGCAAGGUUAAAACUCAAAUGAAUUGACGGGGGCCCGCACAAGCGGUGGAGCAUGUGGUUUAAUUCGAUGCAACGCGAAGAACCUUACCUGGUCUUGACAUCCACGGAAGUUUUCAGAGAUGAGAAUGUGCCUUCGGGAACCGUGAGACAGGUGCUGCAUGGCUGUCGUCAGCUCGUGUUGUGAAAUGUUGGGUUAAGUCCCGCAACGAGCGCAACCCUUAUCCUUUGUUGCCAGCGGUCCGGCCGGGAACUCAAAGGAGACUGCCAGUGAUAAACUGGAGGAAGGUGGGGAUGACGUCAAGUCAUCAUGGCCCUUACGACCAGGGCUACACACGUGCUACAAUGGCGCAUACAAAGAGAAGCGACCUCGCGAGAGCAAGCGGACCUCAUAAAGUGCGUCGUAGUCCGGAUUGGAGUCUGCAACUCGACUCCAUGAAGUCGGAAUCGCUAGUAAUCGUGGAUCAGAAUGCCACGGUGAAUACGUUCCCGGGCCUUGUACACACCGCCCGUCACACCAUGGGAGUGGGUUGCAAAAGAAGUAGGUAGCUUAACCUUCGGGAGGGCGCUUACCACUUUGUGAUUCAUGACUGGGGUGAAGUCGUAACAAGGUAACCGUAGGGGAACCUGCGGUUGGAUCACCUCCUUACCUUAAAGAAGC
rnacentral:rRNA from 1 species